rnacentral:rRNA from 1 species
UACGUAGGGGGCAAGCGUUGUCCGGAUUUACUGGGCGUAAAGCGCCUGUAGGCGGAAGCUUAAGCGGUACCUGAAAUCCCCCGGCUCAACCGGGGAACUGCUGGGUAUACUGGGCGUCUUGGGCCAACUAGGGGCUGCCGGAACAAAUGGUGGAGCGGUGAAAUGCGUAGAUAUCAUUUGGAACGCCAAGGGCGAAAGCAGGCAGCUGGGGUUGUGCCGACGCUGAGACACGAAAGCCAGGGGAGCGAACGGG